AGGAGUGUAGCUCAGUUGGUAGAGCAACGGUCUCCAAAACCGUUGGCCGCGGGUUCGAAUCCUGCCACUCCUGCCA
rnacentral:tRNA from 1 species